AUUUCUGAGCUACCCUUCUAACAAGGUGAAUAGCCUACAACAAGGUUCUUCACAUUUUUAAUUUUUACGCAUACCGUGUAAGUCGGCUAUCUAUAGUAGACAGUCUUUCGGACUCGUUUCUGACAUAUUCACGAGACGGCUGGAAUAAAUCUACGAAAAACACGGUUCUGGGGUUACCUUCUGUCAAUGCUUGCCUUAUUUGGUCAUGGAAUUUAUGCUGAUUUUACAAUAGUUUGAUACCAUGCAUAUUCAAUAUUUAAUUUCAUGUUUUAAUCAAUUCAUGCACCCUUUGUUUGACCUCAAAGAAAACACGCCCCUCGCUUGACAGCUUGUGUUCUACGUGAAAAGAUACGACGGCCUAGCCUGCCGCGGAAAUACCCCGCGAUAGUCGAGUACAAGCUGAUGGUUUGGGUGGUUUUAUUCACAUUUUGGAGCCCGUUGAAAACGCCUGAGCAGAAGAAACAACAUAUCACCAUUAAUGCAGAUAUACUAAUCGAGACUACAGAUAAAGUGUGAUUGUGAAACAAAAAUAAACUUUAUCUUAUUGUAUUGUAUCAUCCAUGAAGGAUUGACUUGGACAGCGCGACGUGUCAUUCAGUCAGUGCGAUAACACCACCACCACUACAACGCACAUUGAUGCGGAUGAUCAAGGCAUCCAUUCCGUUGACGAUUCGCUACCCUCGCACGGCUCACAAAAAGAGUGUUCCAAACUGAACAAUCUGAUACACCCAUCGUCUGUUUCAAGAUAAAUAAAGCGGGAUAACAACAUUCGUUAACAUGGCAACGGAAACUGAUGACAGAUCGACACCCCAACAGCAGCAGGCCAGCUCGACACCCACGCCAGGGCCAUCGCCAGGGAACGACCCGGAACUUUGGGCAGCUCAGACGAUGACAUUUCCUACGGCCAACGAAGUCAAAAGAAAGAGACCUAAGAAAGAAUCCUCACACUCGGAUUGAUGGAGACUGCUUUCUCUUGAAGUUCACCUUUACUCUUGAAGGAACGAGUCAUCGAUGAGCGUUACUAUGGUUACAACAGACUAAAAGUAGCAUUCUUCAGAAACAACUCUUUUCGCAGCUGAUCUUUUUCGAUGUCCCGUGCGUAUAUAUAUAUAUUCCAUGUUCGUCUCGGUCUAAAAAACUUCUAAACUAUUGUGAAAUAUGCGUUUUCCUUUUCAUUGUACAAUGAUUGAGCUGCUUUGAGCAGUCUUCUGUAUGUCAUGAAGCUUUGUUGAAAACAUCGCCGAAGUUGUAUAUUUUUCGUUAUCAAAGUAAUCUGAAAUAGAUUUUAAAUAAAUCUUGUGGGUUUGGCGGGGCAUUCACUUUGUUAAUAAUGUUGCAGAUUAGUGAGUUGCAAUUCAAUUUGCUCUCAGCGUAUCAAAACAUAUAAUCAAAAGCUUCAUAGGAAAGCUAAUUUUUCGAUCAAAUUGAGUAAGCUAUACAUUCCACGGAAGAUGCUAUUCAAAUUAAGUGGCUAAAGUAGGCACAGUUUUACUAUUGAAUGGAACGUGUUCUGGGUUGCUUAAGUAAGACCCUCAAUCACUUUAUUUUCCGUCAGCGUAGUUGAAGUGUGAUCUUGAAUUUUUGAACUUUUGUUAAGAACUAAAUUUUCAAUAUUCUCUUUGUAUGUUACAAUUAUUAAAGGAAUUCAAAUGAAAGAAAAUGUAUUGAUUUUGUAUGCAAUAUAACGAAAUUAGAUUUGGGGAGGCAAAAAAUCAAAUAAUAAUGCCACUUUCUUGAAACAGUAAGGAAAUUUCGGGAGUAAUUUCUUUAGCUCGGGAACGGGUUCCAAUAGUUCUUAAAAGUCAUACGUUACCUUACAAACACCUGUACUAAACAGGUCCCGAGGCAACACUCAAUCCUCUAACCGUACUAGCCACUAGGCACAGGCGUACGCGAAUAUAUACAGAACGAUUAGAGAAGAAAAAUAUUCCGUGAUGGAAAGCUUGACAGAGUGUCGGCCUAUCGCCAAUAUUGUUUCGAAUAAGCAGAAUGUUGAUUUACGGAUAAAAGUCAUCUGAAAAUAGUGAGAGGCAACGAUGUUUUAAAUAUAGCUGCAUACCUGAUCAGGUCUGAUAGUAAUCGAAAGUAGUCGAAAAACUUUUACAAAGUUUGGGAAGACCGAAUAUGCAAGAGGGUCAGAUAUCAACACCAUUGAUAGGAUGUAGAUUCACUCAAAUUGGAGUGAUCCGAUGAACUCGCUCCCAUAUUAAUGCUUUCUGAAAAUAAUUAAAAAAAAACCUCUAGAUUCAUUCUUUAACAUAAUCACACUUGAAAAAAGAUGUUAUAAUUUUUCCUACAGUGAAGAAUUCGAUAGAUAUAAAUAAAUGAAGUACAAAUCAAAUUUUAGGUCCCCUCUUUUUACAAUUCAUUCUCAAGUAAUGUUUUAUCUAUGACAUUUAUUUUUGUAAAUCUAUUUGUGCAAUUGUAUAUUCCUGCACAAGAGCUAUUGUAAAAAUGUGAAAAAUAAAUAUUUCGAUCUAUGAA